AGGACAAGCUAUCCACUAAAGGCAAAUCAAAGAUGCCAGCGAGAUUCCUACCACAGUUACCUAUGGAUAAACUAUCCAGCAAAGAAAAGGCCAAGCUGCCGUCAACAGUCUUACCACAGUUAUCUUUGCCCAUUGUCCAAAGGCAGGGGAGAAAAGAUGGUAAAUAGGACAGGGGAUGUGGACCUGUUUAGAUGUAGUUUUUUGGGGUCAUCCCAAUCUCCAUUUGUCAGGGUACUAGCAGUCCAGUUCAGUAGUGACAGGAUACAAAACAGGAAUCAGCAGCAAUGGCAGGAUCCAAAGAAACUGCCAGACCUCUGUUGAAUGGACACCAGUCAGCAGGAUGACCAGAAUCAGCCAGGAGGCCAAGAGAAGUUCUCAGCUGUGCCUCUCUCAAUGAAUGGAAGAUCAGUGAAGAUGUAAGACCAAGGAAGUGGUGCAAAGCUAGCUAUGCAAACAUCAUUACCUGCCAUUGAAUCUUAUUUAUAUUCUCUCCAAACAUCACAUGUCCUACCACAGGACUUGCCUCAGCAAAACACCACAUGAGUCUGUAUCACCUGACAUAUCCAGAAAUUUCCACUUUAUCAGUUUUCAAAGGUUUAUUGGUUCCAAACUUAAAACAAAAUACCAAAUCUC